rnacentral:misc_RNA from 1 species
GAUGAAGAACGUAGCAAAAUGCGAUAAGUAAUGUGAAUUGCAGAAUUCAGUGAAUCAUCGAAUCUUUGAACGCACAUUGCGCCCGCCAGUAUUCUGGCGGGCAUGCCUGUUCGAGCGUCAUUUCAACCCUCAAGCCCUCGGGUUUGGUGUUGGGGAUCGGCGAGCCUUUCUGGCAAGCCGGCCCCGAAAUCUAGUGGCGGUCUCGCUGCAGCCUCCAUUGCGUAGUAGUAAAACCCUCGCAACUGGAACGCGGCGCGACCAAGCCGUUAAACCCCCAACUUCUGAAUGUUGACCUCGGAUCAGGUAGGAAUACCCGCUGAACUUAAGCAUAUCAAUAAGCGGAGGA